rnacentral:rRNA from 1 species
AUGGACGUGCUGCCGGAGGACGUGGUCGGGCGGGGCGUCCGUCGGGGCCAGAGAGCUCGCAAGGCUCGUGUCCUAGCAGGCGUGGCCAAAGCGGCCGGCGGCGUGCGUCUCGCCGUGGCAUUCCUUAUUGCCAGGCUCUCAAGGGGCACGCCGCCCGGACAUGCGCCAGCCCAACUGGGCAGGUUGCGUCUUCUCUCAGCCCGCAGAGCGCAGUAUAAGAGGUCCCUAUGUCAUGGGCCGACCCAGGCUGGGGUUUACCAUUUCUACACCGAGGAGCAAAAGAAGGUAACAUACGAGGCCCUGAAGCUGGCGAAGCGCAACGUGUACCACCGUGCGUGCCUUGUGGAGACCCAACGCCGUGUCGUGCCUCCUCCACCUCCUCUCCUCGACGGACGCGUCCAGAACAACGCUAUUGCCAGUCUCCUCAACCUCUUGAAACACAUAAUCGGGUGGAGCACGCUCGUGGAGGUGGGCAGGCUCGGGCUCAUAGUUGAUGCCGUCAAUGUCUCGGCCAAGGCCAUCCGGAAGUUGGUGCACCUCAUGAGGAAGGGCGCCUACCGCGGCCGCAAGAACGCACUAGUGAGCCUUUACGGGGUGCUCCACAGCGCGAACAGCAUUGGGAAGGCGGUGUCCGCCAGUGCCGUGAGUGUGCUCGCCAACCUCCUUUCCGACGACCAUCAGGACUUUGUGAACGGCUCCGUCGCUCUACUCGCGAGGAUUGCCGAGCAGCCGGCCAGCACAACGGCCAACCUUGCCCGCUUGGAGCUCGUCACGAGCCUCGUCAACUUCCUCGGCGCGUCGGCGUCUCGAUCGGGGAAGGACCACUGCAUGGCGCUGAUGGCCUCGAUGUGCCGGCACAGAGAGCGUCCUGUGAUCGGCUGCCACCUCUACGACUAUUGGCUCUCGUAUACCAUCUCCAUGAUAUGUUGA